UACGGAGGGUGCAAGCGUUAUCCGGAAUCACUGGGUUUAAAGGGUGCGUAGGCGGUCAGAUAAGUCAGUUGUGAAAUACCCCGGCUUAACCGGAGGAACUGCGAUUGAUACUGUUUGACUUGAAUCAGGUUGAGGUAGGCGGAAUGUGGCAUGUAGCGGUGAAAUGCUUAGAUAUGCCAUAGAACACCGAUUGCGAAGGCAGCUUGCUGGACCUGUAUUGACGCUGAGGCACGAAAGCGUGGGGAGCAAACAGG
rnacentral:rRNA from 1 species